CAUAGGUUAAUGAGGCGAACCGGGGGAACUGAAACAUCUAAGUACCCCGAGGAAAAGAAAUCAACCGAGAUUCCCCCAGUAGCGGCGAGCGAACGGGGAGCAGCCCAGAGCCUGAAUCAGUAUGUGUGUUAGUGGAAGCGUCUGGAAAGGCGCGCGAUACAGGGUGACAGCCCCGUACACAAAAAUGCACAUGCUGUGAGCUCGAUGAGUAGGGCGGGACACGUGGUAUCCUGUCUGAAUAUGGGGGGACCAUCCUCCAAGGCUAAAUACUCCUGACUGACCGAUAGUGAACCAGUACCGUGAGGGAAAGGCGAAAAGAACCCCGGCGAGGGGAGUGAAAAAGAACCUGAAACCGUGUACGUACAAGCAGUGGGAGCACGCUUAGGCGUGUGACUGCGUACCUUUUGUAUAAUGGGUCAGCGACUUAUAUUCUGUAGCAAGGUUAACCGAAUAGGGGAGCCGAAGGGAAACCGAGUCUUAACUGGGCGUUAAGUUGCAGGGUAUAGACCCGAAACCCGGUGAUCUAGCCAUGGGCAGGUUGAAGGUUGGGUAACACUAACUGGAGGACCGAACCGACUAAUGUUGAAAAAUUAGCGGAUGACUUGUGGCUGGGGGUGAAAGGCCAAUCAAACCGGGAGAUAGCUGGUUCUCCCCGAAAGCUAUUUAGGUAGCGCCUCGUGAAUUCAUCUCCGGGGGUAGAGCACUGUUUCGGCAAGGGGGUCAUCCCGACUUACCAACCCGAUGCAAACUGCGAAUACCGGAGAAUGUUAUCACGGGAGACACACGGCGGGUGCUAACGUCCGUCGUGAAGAGGGAAACAACCCAGACCGCCAGCUAAGGUCCCAAAGUCAUGGUUAAGUGGGAAACGAUGUGGGAAGGCCCAGACAGCCAGGAUGUUGGCUUAGAAGCAGCCAUCAUUUAAAGAAAGCGUAAUAGCUCACUGGUCGAGUCGGCCUGCGCGGAAGAUGUAACGGGGCUAAACCAUGCACCGAAGCUGCGGCAGCGACGCUUAUGCGUUGUUGGGUAGGGGAGCGUUCU
rnacentral:rRNA from 1 species